AUGAAAACCUCAUCCUAAGGGUUUCCUUAGAAUGGACUUGGCUGUUGCCUAAUGGCUCGGCUUAAAUGACUUAGCGGUGGACGCGUUGCACUAAGCGUAAUAAGUUUCGCUUUCUGUAAAGUGGUCGCUGCUUCCAACCUGAACUUCGGUUCACUUUAAUCUUCGACCUCAAAUCAGGUAGGACUACCCGCUGAACUUAA
rnacentral:misc_RNA from 1 species